rnacentral:rRNA from 1 species
UACGGAGGGGGCUAGCGUUGUUCGGAAUUAUUGGGCGUAAAGGGCGCGUAGGCGGCAGGAUAAGUCUGACGUGAAAUCCCUCGGCCUAACCGAGGAACUGCGUUUGAAACUGUCCAGCUCGAGUCCGGGAGAGGGUAGUGGAAUUCCCAGUGUAGCGGUGAAAUGCGUAGAUAUUGGGAGGAACACCGGUGGCGAAGGCGGCAUCCUGGACCGACACUGACGCUGAGGAGCGAAAGCCAGGGGAGCAAACGGG